rnacentral:rRNA from 1 species
GUACUUGUACUUUUUUAUAUAUUCCUCCUAUUUAAAAACCUACAUUAGUGCUCUUAAUCGAGUGUUUUUGUGGGCCGGUACAAUUACUUUGAACAAAUUAGAGUGCUUAAAGCAGGCUUCAAAUGCCUGAAUAUUCUGUGCAUGGGAUAAUGAAAUAAGACCUCUGUUCUGCUUUCAUUGGUUUUCAGAUCAAGAGGUAAUGAUUAAUAGAAGCAGUUUGGGGGCAUUAGUAUUACGACGCGAGAGGUGAAAUUCUUGGACCGUCGUAAGACUAACUUAAGCGAAAGCAUUUGCCAAAGAUGUUUUCAUUAAUCAAGAACGAAAGUUAGAGGUUCGAAGGCGAUCAGAUACCGCCCUAGUUCUAACCAUAAACGAUGCCAGCUAGCAAUUGGGUGUAGCUACUUUUAUGGCUCUCUCAGUCGCUUCCCGGGAAACCAAAGCUUUUGGGCUCCGGGGGAAGUAUGGUUGCAAAGCUGAAACUUAAAGGAAUUGACGGAAGGGCACCACCAGGAGUGGAGCCUGCGGCUUAAUUUGACUCAACACGGGAAAACUUACCAGGUCCGAACAUAAGUGUGUAAGACAGAUUGAUAGCUCUUUCUCGAAUCUAUGGGUGGUGGUGCAUGGCCGUUCUUAGUUCGUGGAGUGAUUUGUCUGGUUAAUUCCGAUAACGAACGAGACUCAAAUAUAUUAAAUAGAUAUCUUCAGGAUUAUGGUGUUGAAGCUUAUAUUGCCUUCAUUCAUGGUAGCAGUAAAAUGUUUAUUGUGUUUGAAUGUGUUUAUAUAAGUGGAGCCGUACCUGUUGGUUUGUCCCAUUAUAAGGACACUAGCUUCUUAAAUGGACAAAUUGCGUCUAGCAAUAAUGAGAUUGAGCAAUAACAGGUUUGUGAUGCCCUUAGAUGUCCUGGGCUGCACGCGCGCUACAAUGAAAGUAUCAACGUGUAUUUCCUAGACCGAGAGGUCCGGGUAAACCGCUGAACCACUUUCAUGCUUGGGAUUGUGAACUGAAACUGUUCACAUGAACUUGGAAUUCCUAGUAAGUGUGAGUCAUUAACUCGCAUUGAUUACGUCCCUGCCCUUUGUGCACACCGCCCGUCGCUACUACCGAUUGAAUUAUUUAGU